UCCUGGUGAAACCCAAAGGGAGGGGCUCAGGGGCUGGGGAGGGAGGCCGGAGUGAAGAGCCUGGGAAAAACCCAGGCUGAAGAGUGGGCAGCAGCCAAAGAUAGUCUAUUCAGUCUUAUACUCACAGCAGAGUAUUAGUGGCUAAUGCAUGUUGAGCACUUGACCUGUGUUAACAUUUUGCUAAGUUCUUCACUUGUACAUUUUAUUUAAUUCUUACAACAAAGUAUGAGGCAGGUAUUGUUAUCAUUCCCAUUUUACAGACAAGUAGCCCCAGAGAGGUUAAUGUCUUGCUCAAGCCCAUGCAGCUAAUAAAGGAGAGAAAUGGAAUUUGGAAUUUGGACGUAUGUCUGUCUGACUUUAGAGCAUUCACUCCUAAUCCUUGCAUUAUGGGGGAUGGGCUUCACAUCAGAAGAGAUGGCCCUGCCUUCUGGGUAUUUAUGAUGGCAUUGGGCAUAUGAGACCCAUGGAUAUGAAAUGUAAACAACAUAGUUAUCAAGGAGUGUGAGUACCAGUUAAGGGGACUUGGGCUCAUGUUCUAGGGACUCAGAUUGGCUUGGGCUGGCCUAUUCCAUGAAGACAAGGCAUGGUUUUCCCUCCAAGAUAUAGAC
rnacentral:lncRNA from 1 species